rnacentral:lncRNA from 1 species
AAGGCUGAGUGGAUCAGCUGUUGGUCCAACCUCACACAUAAAACAACAGUACAAUGUUAUAUGCACCCAUUCUAAGUUCACAAAAACUUUACUCUGCUGAUAAGUUGUUAUUGUUCAUCCUUAGGGAUAGUUGGAUUCUCCUGAAAGUUAUGCUACUUCUGCUGGCUUGUAAUUGAAAGAAGCCAACAGCACACUGAUGACUGUAUUAGAUACAUCUGAGCUAGUGGAAACUUCACAUUCUUGCUAGCUAGUGG